CAGUCGCCGCGGGAAUACGUAGGUGGCAAGCGUUGUCCGGAAUUAUUGGGCGUAAAGCGCGCGCAGGUGGUUUAAUAAGUCUGAUGCGAAAGCCCACGGCUCAACCGUGGAGGGUCAUUGGAAACUGUUAAACUUGAGUGCAGGAGAGAAAAGUGGAAUUCCUAGUGUAGCGGUGAAAUGCGUAGAGAUUAGGAGGAACACCAGUGGCGAAGGCGGCUUUUUGGCCUGUAACUGACACUGAGGCGCGAAAGCGUGGGGAGCAAACAGGAUUAGAGACCCGAGUAGUCCCUGUCUCUUAUAA
rnacentral:rRNA from 1 species